CCUACGGGAGGCAGCAGUGAGGAAUAUUGGUCAAUGGGCGCGAGCCUGAACCAGCCAAGCAGCGUGAAGGAUGAAUGCUCUACGGGUUGUAAACUUCUUUUAUAAAGGAAUAAAGGCAGGCACGUGUGCCUUUUUGUAUGUACCUUAUGAAUAAGGAUCGGCUAACUCCGUGCCAGCAGCCGCGGUAAUACGGAGGAUCCGAGCGUUAUCCGGGUUUAUUGGGUUUAAAGGGAGGGUAGAGGGGUUGUUAAGUCAGUUGUGAAAGUUCGGGGCUCAACCGUAAAAUUGCAUUUGAUACUGGCAGCCUUGAGUGCAGGUGAGGUAGGCGGAAUUCGUGGUGUAGCGGUGAAAUGCUUAGAUAUCACGAAGAACUCCGAUUGCGAAGGCAGCCUACUGGACUGCCACUGACGUUGAGGCUCGAAAGUGUGGGUAUCAAACAGGAUUAGAUACCCGGGUAGUC
rnacentral:rRNA from 1 species